rnacentral:rRNA from 1 species
UGGGGAAUAUUGGACAAUGGGCGAAAGCCUGAUCCAGCCAUGCCGCGUGGGUGAAGAAGGCCUUAGGGUUGUAAACCCCUUUCAGCGGGGAAGAUAAUGACGGUACCCGCAGAAGAAGCCCCGGCUAACUCCGUGCCAGCAGCCGCGGUAAUACGGAGGGGGCUAGCGUUGUUCGGAAUUACUGGGCGUAAAGCGCGCGUAGGCGGAUCUGCAAGUCAGGGGUGAAAUCCCGAGGCUCAACCUCGGAACUGCCUUUGAUACUGCGGAUCUCGAGUCCGAGAGAGGUGAGUGGAAUUCCUAGUGUAGAGGUGAAAUUCGUAGAUAUUAGGAAGAACACCAGUGGCGAAGGCGGCUCACUGGCUCGGUACUGACGCUGAGGCGCGAAAGCGUGGGGAGCAAACAGGAUUAGAUACCCUGGUAGUCCACGCCGUAAACUAUGGGUGCUAGCCGUCGGAGAGCAUGCUCUUCGGUGGCGCAGCAAACGCAUUAAGCA